UGGGGAAUAUUGCACAAUGGGCGCAAGCCUGAUGCAGCCAUGCCGCGUGUGUGAAGAAGGCCUUCGGGUUGUAAAGCACUUUCAGCGAGGAGGAAGGUGGUGAGCUUAAUACGCUCAUCAAUUGACGUUACUCGCAGAAGAAGCACCGGCUAACUCCGUGCCAGCAGCCGCGGUAAUACGGAGGGUGCAAGCGUUAAUCGGAAUUACUGGGCGUAAAGCGCACGCAGGCGGUUUGUUAAGUCAGAUGUGAAAUCCCCGGGCUCAACCUGGGAACUGCAUUUGAAACUGGCAAGCUAGAGUCUCGUAGAGGGGGGUAGAAUUCCAGGUGUAGCGGUGAAAUGCGUAGAGAUCUGGAGGAAUACCGGUGGCGAAGGCGGCCCCCUGGACGAAGACUGACGCUCAGGUGCGAAAGCGUGGGGCAGCAAACAGGAUUAGAUACCCUGGUAGUCCACGCUGUAAAACGAUGUCGAUUUUGGAGGUUGUGCCCUUGAGGCGUGGCUUCCGGAGCUAACGCGUUAAAUCGACCGCCUGGGGAGUACGGCCGCAAGGUUAAAACUUAAA
rnacentral:rRNA from 1 species